UACGGAGGGGGCUAGCGUUGUUCGGAAUUACUGGGCGUAAAGCGCACGUAGGCGGCUUUGUAAGUUAGAGGUGAAAGCCCGGGGCUCAACUCCGGAAUUGCCUUUAAGACUGCAUCGCUCGAGUUGUGGAGAGGUAAGUGGAAUUCCGAGUGUAGAGGUGAAAUUCGUAGAUAUUCGGAAGAACACCAGUGGCGAAGGCGACUUACUGGACACAUACUGACGCUGAGGUGCGAAAAGCGUGGGGGAGCA
rnacentral:rRNA from 1 species